AACGCAAGGAGAGAGAGAGAGCGCUGCAGCCACUGGAGAGGAGCCCUCCAGCCCUCGUCACUGUCAGCUCCAUCGCCGUCGUCACCAUUGGAUCUGCGUGAACCCGUCGUCCUCGUUGUCACCAUCGAUGUUUCUCCUCGUCGUUUGUGGGUUGUCACCUCUCCUGCUUCUGCUGUCACGCCGUCGUCUGCCCUUCUGGACUUUGCUGCUUUUGAAUCACCCUGUCACUGGUUCUUUGCUUCCUUGUUGUGGCCCAACCUCUAAUUAGGUUGGCAACUGGUAUCCUGGAAGUAGCUGCUGACUGGGAUGAAGAUUGGGAUAAGCUUGAAGAUAAAGGUUCACCUAAGAGUGAAAUGAGUCAAAAAACCCCAGACCACAGAUGAACAAGAAGUUGACAGUGAAUCCGUUCAUAAUGAGUCAAAUAAACAUGAUGUUUAUUUUAAUUUUUUGGGGGUUCUGAAAAGAUAAUUCGCCCUUUGCUUGAUUCAGUUAUAUGAUAUCCUUGAUUCAGUUAUAUCUCCUUCAAUCAACAAUUUGUUAUAGUGCUAGUAGCUAUGUUUCCUUAGAUUAACAAUUCAGUUAUACUUUUUCUUCUCUAUUUUAUCCAUUAUUCCCUAUGUUUAUCUGUAAGCUUCUUGUGUCAUGAAAAUUGAUUUGAGAUAUUUUCUUUUGUGUGAUAUCUGAUUUGUUCAUAUCUCAUGAAAGAGUCAAGUUUUAUCAAAAACUAUAUUCUAUAAUCUCAUUGUUCAUGCUGUCAUAUAUAACUUUUUUUCCCUUUGUUAGGUCUCAGAGAUAAGAAGUGUGUGCCAUGCAAUCUGAAGGAACUGCAACCGAUGACCAAGGAUGCAGCACACACAUUGAUGCCACAGGUUUCUGAGUGGAAUUUGGUAAAAGAAGAUGGCAUAUUUAAAUUGAAGAGGACAUGGAAAGUAAAGACUUUCACCAAAAGCUUGAAAUUCUUCAAGAUAGUGGCUGACUUUGCUUAAAGUGAAGGUGAAAAACAUUACAAGAUGAGCGAACAAAUUAGAGAAGAAUUUUUUUGGUUUUCAAAGGAUGAGAAGAAUAUGUACUAUAUUAGAGAAUAUUUUUGUUUUCACAUUAUAAUAUUUUGAUGUCUUUUGUAAUUUUUUUAAUAGCUUCUACCUGGUAUUACAUGU